AUUGAAAGCUGGCGUCUUCGGCGUCCGCAUUGUAAUCUCAAGAAGUGUUUUCCGCUUCGGACCAAGCCUAAGUCCCCUGGAAAGGGGCAUCAUAGAGGGUGAUAAUCCCGUACAUGGCUUGGAGCGCCCGAGGCUUUGUGAUACGCUUUCUAAGAGUCGAGUUGUUUGGGAAUGCAGCUCAAAAUGGGUGGUAAAUGCCAUCUAAGGCUAAAUAUUGGGGAGAGACCGAUAGCGAACAAGUACAGUGAUGGAAAGAUGAAAAGAACUUUGAAAAGAGAGUUAAACAGUACGUGAAAUUGCCAAAAGGGAAGGGUAGGAGGUCAGAGAUGCGGCCUGGGAUUCAGCCUUGCUUUUGCUUGGUGUUUUUCCCAGAUUGCAGGCCAACGUCGGUUUUGGGCACUGGAGAAGGGUAGGAGGAACGUGGCACCCCUCGGGGUGUGUUAUAGCCUCCUACUGGAUACAGCGACCGAGACCGAGGACAGCAGCGUACUCGCAAGAGCGGGCCUUCGGGCACCUUUACGCUUAGGGCGUUGGCAUAAUGGCCCUCUACCAC
rnacentral:rRNA from 1 species